GCUAUAAUGCAGUCGAGCGAACAGAUAAGGAGCUUGCUCCUUUGACGUUAGCGGCGGACGGGUGAGUAACACGUGGAUAACCUACCUAUAAGACUGGGAUAACUUCGGGAAACCGGAGCUAAUACCGGAUAACAUAUUGAACCGCAUGGUUCAAUAGUGAAAGGCGGCUUUGCUGUCACUUAUAGAUGGAUCCGCGCCGUAUUAGCUAGUUGGUAAGGUAACGGCUUACCAAGGCAACGAUACGUAGCCGACCUGAGAGGGUGAUCGGCCACACUGGAACUGAGACACGGUCCAGACUCCUACGGGAGGCAGCAGUAGGGAAUCUUCCGCAAUGGGCGAAAGCCUGACGGAGCAACGCCGCGUGAGUGAUGAAGGUCUUCGGAUCGUAAAACUCUGUUAUCAGGGAAGAACAAAUGUGUAAGUAACUGUGCACAUCUUGACGGUACCUGAUCAGAAAGCCACGGCUAACUACGUGCCAGCAGCCGCGGUAAUACGUAGGUGGCAAGCGUUAUCCGGAAUUAUUGGGCGUAAAGCGCGCGUAGGCGGUUUUUUAAGUCUGAUGUGAAAGCCCACGGCUCAACCGUGGAGGGUCAUUGGAAACUGGAAAACUUGAGUGCAGAAGAGGAAAGUGGAAUUCCAUGUGUAGCGGUGAAAUGCGCAGAGAUAUGGAGGAACACCAGUGGCGAAGGCGACUUUCUGGUCUGUAACUGACGCUGAUGUGCGAAAGCGUGGGGAUCAAACAGGAUUAGAUACCCUGGUAGUCCACGCCGUAAACGAUGAGUGCUAAGUGUU
rnacentral:rRNA from 1 species